CAGCUCGUGUCGUGAGAUGUUCGGUUAAGUCCGCUAACGAGCGCAACCCUCGCUGUGUGUUAUAUGUGUCACACAGGACUGCUGGUAUUAAGCCGGAGGAAGUGGGACGACGUCAAGUCAGCAUGACCUUUAUAUCCAGGGCUACACACACGCUACAAUGGUCAGUACAAUGGGUUGCCAAGCCGCGAGGCGGAGCCAAUCCUAAAAAGCUGGCCUCAGUUCAGAUUGCAGUCUGAAACUCGACUGCAUGAAGUCGGAGUUGCUAGUAAACGCAGGUCAGCUAUACUGCGUUGAAUACGUUCCCGGGGCUU
rnacentral:rRNA from 1 species